UGUUGACGAAAUAAAUGAUGAGCUGAUUGAUAAAUUCCCUGGAGAUGAACAGGUCUACUACAGUUUUGAUGAGGCAGAAGAUGAUACGCACAACCAUUAUCCCAUCGAGUUUUUAAAUUCUCUCAACGUUAGUGGUUUGCCCCCUCAUUGUCUACACCUCAAGGUUGGAUGCCCGGUUAUACUUUUGCGUAACAUCGAUCCAUCGAACGGAUUAUGUAAUGGCACAAGAUUGAUAUGCAAAUCUUUUCAACGUAAUGUCAUCGAUGCAGAAAUAGCCGUUGGUGAACAUGUCGGGAAAAGAGUUUUUUUACCAAGAAUUCCUCUAUGUCCAUCUGAAAAUGAUAUGUUCCCUUUCAAGCUAAAAAGAAAACAGUUUCCUAUUCGCCUUAGCUUUGCGAUGACCAUCAACAAAGCUCAAGGCCAAACAAUUCCAAAUGUGGGUAUAUAUCUACCAGAAUCGGUAUUUUCGCACGGUCAACUUUACGUGGCACUAUCAAGAGGGAUAUCACGUGAAAAGACAAAGGUUUCAGUUAGGCCCGUGAAAGACUUCAACCGAUCUGGAGUAUACACAGCAAAUGUCGUGUAUAGAGAAGUGUUACACGACGUAUAAUUGUAUAUGUGAUGCUUAGAUGAGUAGGAAGCAGCUGGAAUAUGAAUCAUAUUCAGGUGAAAGUGAAACUUGAGGUGCAUCAUCAUCUAUUAUAAUGAAAGACAAUUGUCGGUGAAUGUUACAAAACCGUGUUUUAGUUGUUGAUCACCAGCUGCUAACAAAUGAAGAAAAGAAGGCUGCAAAUUUCUUUUUUUUUCCUAACUUCAUGUGUUCUUAAAUUCUCUAAGUUGUUUUUGUACGUGGAUUUGUCACCCAAGGUUGAUUCAUUUUAUGCUUAGGUACAUUCAUUUU